rnacentral:lncRNA from 1 species
CUCAGCUAUCACAUAUCACAAAGAACGAACUAGUAUUUUAAGGAUUUCACUCCUACCCAUAUAUCCAUGAUAUCUUAUUUAAUAAACUGGUCGUGUGAUGAAAAUAUACAUUAAUUAAAGUACAGCCAUAUAAUUAACACUACACAGAUGAAUUUUAACAGCUUUCAAAAUUUCAAUGUAUCAACUCCUUGAUUAAAAGAGAAUUUUGAGUAGAAAAUAUAAAUUUGGGGCCAGAUACACAAAGGGACCCUCAUACUGCAGAUUAUGUACAAAUUAGCAUUUUGAGGCUCACAAUAAAGCAGAAAAAUCAUGAGAAGUUAUCUCAACCAAUGCUGAGCAGUGAGCACAUAUAAAAGGAACGGUUGCUCUAAGUGUGUUGCUGGAAACAAAAAAGUGGAGCCAUGAAUCAAAUAUCACAGUGGACUCUAUAACACAGGGAAGCAGGGCAAAUCUCCUGUGGGGGAAAAAAAAUCUCAUCAAUUUAGGCCUCGAUAUUCCCUUGAAUUUGUGAUCAAUUGUAUAUGAGUUCAAAAUCAAGAAUCAACUAAUAUACAAUCAAGAAAAAUAUUAUGAAUGAGAAUUAACUAGACUACUCAAUACUUUGGAUAUUAAAGGUAUCUGAAAUGUGUGUAAAUGCAUUCCUUUGAAUGGAUG